GAUGAACGCUGGCGGCGUGCCUAAUACAUGCAAGUCGAGCGAACAGACGAGGAGCUUGCUCCUCUGACGUUAGCGGCGGACGGGUGAGUAACACGUGGAUAACCUACCUAUAAGACUGGGAUAACUUCGGGAAACCGGAGCUAAUACCGGAUAAUAUAUUGAACCGCAUGGUUCAAUAGUGAAAGACGGUUUUGCUGUCACUUAUAGAUGGAUCCGCGCCGCAUUAGCUAGUUGGUAAGGUAACAGCUUACCAAGGCGACGAUGCGUAGCCGACCUGAGAGGGGGAUCGGCCACACUGGAACUGAGACACGGUCCAGACUCCUACGGGAGGCAGCAGUAGGGAAUCUUCCGCAAUGGGCGAAAGCCUGACGGAGCAACGCCGCGUGAGUGAUGAAGGGCUUCGGAUCGUAAAACUCUGUUAUUAGGGAAGAACAAAUGUGUAAGUAACGAUGCACGUCUUGACGGUACCUAAGCAGAAAGCCACGGCUAACUACGG
rnacentral:rRNA from 1 species